GACGAACGCUGGCGGCGUGCUUAACACAUGCAAGUCGAACGAAGUGGCGGACGGGUGAGUAACGCGUAAUCAACCUGCCCUUCGAGGGGGGAAAACAGUUGGAAACGACUGCUAAUACCGCAUACUGAUGGAGGGGAUUGCGUCGGAUUAGCUAGUUGGAGGGGUAACGGCCCACCAAGGCGAUGAUAAGUAGCCGGUCUUGGAGGAUGAACGGCCACAGUGGGACUGAGAAACGGCCCAGACCCCCACGGGAGGCAGCAGUUGGGAAACUUCCGAAAUGGAGGAAAGUCUGACGGAGCAACGCCGGGUGAGUGAUGACGGCCUUCGGGUUUGAAAGCUCUGUUAAGCGGGACGCGGUACCGGAAUAGAAAGCCACGGCUAACUACGUGCCAGCAGCCGCGGUAAUAC
rnacentral:rRNA from 1 species